GACGAACGCUGGCGGCGUGCUUAACACAUGCCAGUCGAACGGUGAAGGGACCGGUUUUUGCUGGUUCUGGAUGAGUGGCGAACGGGUGAGUAACACGUGAGUAACCUGCCCCCUUCUUCUGGAUAACCGCAUGAAAGUGUGGCUAAUACGGGAUAUUCUGCGCCUGCUGCAUGGUGGGUGUGGGAAAGAUAUUGUUUCGGUGGGGGAUGGGCUCGCGGCCUAUCAGCUUGUUGGUGGGGUGAUGGCCUACCAAGGCGGUGACGGGUAGCCGGCCUGAGAGGGUGGACGGUCACACUGGGACUGAGACACGGCCCAGACUCCUACGGGAGGCAGCAGUGGGGAAUAUUGCACAAUGGGCGCAAGCCUGAUGCAGCGACGCCGCGUGAGGGAUGGAGGCCUUCGGGUUGUAAACCUCUUUCGCCAGUGAAGCAGGCCUGUCCCUUGUGUGGGUGGGUUGACGGUAGCUGGAUAAGAAGCGCCGGCUAACUACGUG
rnacentral:rRNA from 1 species